rnacentral:rRNA from 1 species
AUCUUCCACAAUGGACGGAAGUCUGAUGGAGCUACGCCGCGUGAGCGAAGAAGGUUUCCGGAUCGUAAAGCUCUGUUGUAAGGCAAGAACAUGUACGGUAGUCACUGCCCGUACCUUGACGGUACCCUAUCAUUAAGCCUCGGCUCACUUCGUUCCCUCACCCGCGGUAAUACGUAUGUGGCAAGCGUUGUCCGGAAUUAUUGGGCGUAAAGCGCGCGCAGGCGGUCCUUUAAGUCUGAUGUGAAAGCCCACGGCUCAAACGUGGAGGGUCAUUGGAAACUGGAGGACUUGAGUACAGAAGAGGAAAGCGGAAUUCCACGUGUAGCGGUGAAAUGCGUAGAGAUGUGGAGGAACACCGAUGGCGAAGGCAGCCCCCUGGGAUAAUACUGACGCUCAGACACGAAAGCGUGGGGAGCAAACAG